rnacentral:tRNA from 4 species
UUAACCACUCGGGCAUCGACCC